AGGUAAGACAAAUUCUUCAUCUGGUACUUGACUAAGAUUUGGAAUAAGAGAAGACAGUAAAGUUCCGAAUUCAUAAUUUACGAAGUGAUUUAUUUCUAUGCGUAUGUCUAAAGGAAACGCUUUCAUCUUGAUACCACCUAGUUAGGGAACAGGAAGGUAUGUGACCUUCCACCAACCCACUCAACUAUGUCGUCAGGUCGGUAAACACAAAGCUCAAAGAUAAUGUGACUUCUAAAUACAGACUGAUAUUCAAUUCGAAUCACCACCCAUUACGAACAAGGGCCUGCCUAAAAAACAAUCAUUGAUAGCUGGUAAUGUAAUGGUGCAUGUAUAUUUGUGGAUGAGUAGGUUAUUUUGUAUGAAUAAUUCAAUAUUGAAUAUGCUUGAUAUUAAGGUACC